rnacentral:rRNA from 1 species
UGGUUUAAUUCGAUGCAACGCGAAAAACCUUACCACUUUUUGACAUGAAGGUCGUAUCCCUUUUAACCAAGGGAGUCAGUUCGGCUGGACCUUACACAGGUGCUGCAUGGCUGUCGUCAGCUCGUGUCGUGAGAUGUUGGGUUAAGUCCCGCAACGAGCGCAACCCUCAUCCUUAGUUACCAACAGGUAAUGCUGGGCACUC